rnacentral:misc_RNA from 1 species
AACCUCUUCGGAGGUUAGCGGCGGACGGGUGACUAACACGUGGGCAACCUACCUUGUAGAUGGGGAUAACAUCGAGAAAUCGGUGCUAAUACCGAAUAAUACUUUUCUCCACAUGGAGGAAAGUUAAAAGUUGGCUUUUGCUAACACUACAAGAUGGGCCCGCGGCGCAUUAGCUAGUUGGUGAGGUAACGGCUCACCAAGGCGACGAUGCGUAGCCGACCUGAGAGGGUGAUCGGCCACACUGGGACUGAGACACGGCCCAUACUCCUACGGGAGGCAGCAGUGGG